rnacentral:sRNA from 11 species
ACGAUCAAUAUCGAUUUAAUCGAUCGUUUAUAUCGAUCGAUUAGCUAAUAAUAACCUUUGUCAGUAACAUGCACAGAUAUGUUACCAGAAAGACAUUCCGGGAACAACAGAACCACAAUUCAGAAAUUCCCACAGCCGGACCUCCGGCACUGUAACCCUUUACCUGCCGGUAUCCACGUUUGUGGGUACCGGCUUUUUUAUUCACC